rnacentral:misc_RNA from 3 species
CACCACUCAAGCCUCGCUUGGUAUUGGGCGUCGCGACUUUGGUCGCGCGCCUUAAAGUCUCCGGCUGAGCAGUCUGUCUCCGAGCGUUGUGAUACAUAUUCGCUAGGGAUGACAGGUCUGUCGCGGCCGUUAAAUCUUUAUUACA